UACGGGGGGAGCAAGCGUUGUUCGGAUUUACUGGGCGUAAAGGGCGCGUAGGCGGUCAGCACAAGUCAGUUGUGAAAUCUCCGGGCUUAACUCAGAAAGGUCAACUGAUACUGUGCGACUAGAGUGCGGAAGGGGCAACUGGAAUUCUCGGUGUAGCGGUGAAAUGCGUAGAUAUCGAGAGGAACACCUGCGGCGAAGGCGGGUUGCUGGGCCGACACUGACGCUGAUGCGCGAAAGCCAGGGGAGCGAACGGG
rnacentral:rRNA from 1 species